rnacentral:rRNA from 1 species
UACGUAGGGUGCAAGCGUUAAUCGGAAUUACUGGGCGUAAAGCGUGCGCAGGCGGUUUUGUAAGUCAGAUGUGAAAUCCCCGGGCUUAACCUGGGAACUGCGUUUGAAACUACAAGGCUAGAGUGUGGCAGAGGGGGGUAGAAUUCCACGUGUAGCAGUGAAAUGCGUAGAGAUGUGGAGGAACACCGAUGGCGAAGGCAGCCCCCUGGGUUAACACUGACGCUCAGGCACGAAAGCGUGGGGAGCAAACAGG